UUUUGUUGGACUAUGCUGUAGUUUUUCUUUUGUAUGAAUAAUAAGUAAAAAUACAUGCGAAAAUAAAAACGUCUAAAUGCAGGGAGUGUGGAUAACCUAUUGACGGGACACAUAAGUAUCUACAUACUUAAAGUAGAAACACUUGCGUAACAUUGUAUGGGGAUACGUAGACGAACAGGAGUCAUAAAGAAAAACAGUGAGAACAAAGCCUUUAUGAAGAACAGAGAAUAUCGUUAUAAGUGAGAAGUUCACACGAGAUCAAGUAUCUACGAAGAGUGUUGAAUCUGUUGCAAAGAUUGUCUUUUUUGAAAGAUUUUCAGUAACUACGUGGUAGACAGCGGUAACAACAUAGUGAUUAAUCGUUUUCCUGACAACGACAGCUAAUACGACAACAAAGAUAAUUUUACUUGUUUUAUUAUAUUUCAUGGCGAACUCUUGUUGGUAAAACCUAGUGUAAAUCUUGUGAGGUACGGCUCUAUGCGAUUGUCUUUUCCUUGACAAGAGUUUCUGAUAUAUAAGUAAAAAUUUGCCGAACGGUGAAUUAAAAUUGCUGGCGCGAACACAUCAUAACUGUAUGACGAAGAAGUUACAAAGGAAGAUGUUACCAUCUUUGGGCAGCUUUAUAAUGGGAUGUAUUGGCUCAAGACAUGAAGACAGAGCAAACACAACAACAUCACAUGAGGAGGCAACAACAACACCGGCAAGAACGGCGAACAGCAACGUUGUAUCGUUUAAAGAAGAAACUGCCAAUGAAGCGGGUGUGAAUUUACAACCUAAAGUUAGUAUGAUGGCAGAUCAUACACUCAAACUUCUUCGAGAGAUUGGCGAACUAAAGACGUUCACCGAAAUUGAUCCGACGGACGUGAAUCUCAAUAAAUUUUCUGAUUUCAUUAUGGCGUUAGAGAACCCACAAGCUGCUGUAAACAACGCUAAAAACCAUGCUAAUAAGUGAAUUUGGACACAGUAUGGCGUGUCGAUUGGAUAAUUUUAUAUUUCCUUUCAUGUAUGGUUCAUUUGGUGCGUAGAAAGGUAGAAUUUAGUUGCAACUUGUUGGUUUAUCUACGAUGUAUACAGCACGACGCUAAAGACGUUACUAAGGAGAGAAACUACAAGGAUUUUCUUAAAACUAGUUUUUCAUGAGACACGAAAUUGUUCUAGAAAGAUCUAUGAGUGGCCCUGGCAUUGUAUGGUUUGUCGUAAUGUCUUUGCUCUAUGUACACAGAGAGAGAAAAACAGCAUUGUGAAUGAGUUCAACGAAAAACGUUUGAACAUUUUUUGUGGUUAGGGAAAGAUUCAUUGUCGCCUUGAAAAUAAUGCAACUUAUAGGAAUAUAGGAGGUUCAAUAUUUUGACGCACCAGAAACUGAGAGAAACCAUGCGUAUAGUCGUCAAAUUACAUAACAAUUGACGAAACAAAGACUUAGUUUAACUUCAUCGUCGUCAGUAGUUCCCGUCUUUGGCUUAGUUCAAAAGUGUUCUCGCAUAAUCUUUCGUCAGAAUUAGAAAACUUUCAACAAUGCAAUGAAUAGAUUGAUUAUUAAAGUA